rnacentral:lncRNA from 1 species
ACAGGUUGCCCCAUAGUGACCCUGGAGACUCCCGCCUGCCCCCAGUGAAGGAAUUGGUUACUCUCCCAGAGCCCUCCCGGCCAUCGCCCCCUUCCUCACUUCCUCCUCUUCCUGCCCCCAGCCUCUACCCCUCCAGCCUCCUGUGGCUUCACAGCCAAGUGCCCCAUCUCAGGAAGAAGGAGUUGGAGCUCCGUGAUGCCAUUCAAAAACAGAUGACAUGGGGACAGAUUUAACCCAAAGGGCAUAGUUCAACUCCUGGUCUUGACAGAGGAGAAGCCCUCAAAGUUGGAGUCUCACUCUGUUGCCAGGCUAGAGUGCAAUGGCACGAUCUUGGCUCACUGCAACCUCUGCCUCCUGGGUUCAAGAGAUUCUCCUGCCUCAGCCUCCUGAGUUGCUGGGACUAUGGGCACACACCACCAUGCCCAGCUAAUUUUUGUAUUUUUAGUAGAGACAGGGUUUCACCAUGUUGACCACGAUGGUCUUGAUCUCUUGACCUCGUGAUCUGCCCACCUCGGCCUCCCAAAGUGCUGGGAUUACAGGCGUGAGCCAUUGCGCCUAGCAAAUGACAGCUUCUUUGAGCCUCUCUUUAAUAAUCUCUUAAACCCUAUAGGUAGGCAGUUCUGAGACAGCUCCUAAUCAUCUCCCCUCCUGAUAUUCAAGCCCUGAUGUAAUACUCUCUUCUUGAAUGUGAGCUGGACUUAGUGGUUUUCUUCUAAUCAAUUGAAUACACACAAGUGAUGAGCUGUCAUUUCCAAAAUUAGUUUACACAAAGCUGUAACUUUUGUUUUGUUCACAGCCUCUCUCAAUUGCCUUCUCAGCUUGUAUGCUUUGAAGAAGCAAGCUGCAGUGUUGGAGAGGCCCAUGUGGCAAGGAAAUGAGGGUGGCCUCCAGUCAAUGGCUGGUGAGAAACUGAGACCUUCCUUCCAACAAUUGUCAAGUAACUGAAUACUCCCAACAACCAUAUGGGUUAGCUUAGAAGUGAACCUUUCUCUAGUUGAGGUUUCAGAUAAGACCACAGAUAUUAUACUAACACCUUGAUUGCAGGCUUAUGAGAAACCUUGAAAUGAGAAGACUAAGUAAAACCAUAUCUGGAUUCCUGGCUUACAGAAACUGUGAGAUGAUAAAUGUGUGUUAUCUUAAGCCACAAAGUUUUUGGGGUGAUUUGUUCUACAGCAAUUGAUAAUGAAUACUUCAACCUAUAGUGACAACUGGAUGUCUAUUUACUCAUUUUCCCCACCAAAAUGUUAAGUUCCUACAGGGCAGAGGUUACAACAUAUUCAACCUGCUACCUCUCACAGCCCAUAAUAUACAACCUGGCCCAUAAUACAUGAUUAAUCAAUGUUUGUUAAAUUAACAUGCAUUUUUUUAUUUUAAUUUAUUUAUUUAUUAUUAUUAUACUUUAGGUUUUAGGGUACAUGCAUUUUGAGUUUCAUUGAAAUCAGUUAGUUGAAGUGAUAAUAACAUUUAAAUGUGUAUGAGCAGUAGGAUAAGGCAGAUAGCUAGUUAGAAAGUUUUUGAAAAUUGUGAGGGGAAAAAUUAUUUAUAUUUGUACCCUGUUGUAACCAGCUUAGGUUUCAAAAAAUUUCAGGGAGUUUUUAUUCAUUUACAAAAGACUUCAAAGUUGGUGCCUCCCCACCACUAUAAAGAGGUCUUUGCCCUUAUUGACCCAACCAUACUGAUUUGCCUGGUGCACAGUGGGAGCUAUUAUAAGGAGAGGGGAGAAGAAGGGAAUAGAAACAACUGAGAAAAAGGUUGAAAAAAAUAGCGAAAAGGAUAGAAAAAUAGCAGAGGAAAGAGAAGAAGUAGUCAACAUCCAACCCAGAUGCAGAGAAAUGAUUCAAAAGAAAAAGUCUGAUUUUCCUGUCGGAAAUAUUUUGAAAAGGAGCUAGGCAUUUAUCAAAAAGGAAAAAAAAAAAAGAAUAACAGAGUUGUCUUCCAAAGGACCCAAUACUCUUGGAAUUCAAUGACCUAAUUCUGUAUAUGGUUGCAGUGUAGAGAUUGCCUCUUGUCUGAUUCUCAUGGCAUUGAGACCUCUGAUUUCUCAACAGCACAUGCCACAGCAGUAUCAGAGGUCAGGAAUAAAGAACAGAGGGUGUGGGGGGCAGUCUAGAUAUUAUGCUCAGCAAACAUAUUUUUAAAUCAGUGUAAAUUCUCUCUAUCUUGCUGGUUGUUUAUCUUAGCAGUUAAAUCAACUUUUCAUCACUUUUGUAGACAUUAUAUAAUAUCUUCUCCCCGCAGCUCCAGCCACCAGCUGUUAGUCAGCAGAAUGGAAGAGGGACUGGGUCAGCUUGAGCUGAAUAACUUCCAUGCUGACAUUUGAGGGAACCAGUUCCCAGCGACUGAACAAACCUAAAUGUUCUGCUAUGGCCAUAGAACCAAAUAGAUCUUAACAAAGAAAUCUGAGAGCCUUCAAAGGUCCAAACAAUUGGAGCUAGUUCCUUCAAGCUUAAAUAUUCUCAUCUGUAAAGUGGGGACAAUAACUGUGUCUUAUAGGGUUAUUUUGAAGGCUAAAUAUGUGUAAAAGCCUCAGUCUACUGAAAGGUUGCUCAACCGUAACACUCUUUUCAUUUUGUGAGGGAUCAUUCUUUGUUCGAGGUUAGGGACACUGCCUUAUGCAUUACAGGAUGUUUAGCAACAUCCUUAGCUUCUAUCCAUCAGAUGUUAGCACCCCACCCACAGACCACCAUCUUCCCCAUCAUCACCAUCAAAAAUGUCUCCAGACAUUUCCAAGUGUCCCCUGGGAGGGUAAAAUCACCCCUGGUUGAGAACCACUGUUCUAGUGCUUGGCAUUGUUCCAUGAACAUCACAUGAUAUUUUUAUCACUAUAAUUAUUACUAAAGGCAACAUCACCCUGCUAUGGAGACAGCUCCUUUGUCUCACGGAAUCCCUGCAAUAGUUGCUGCAUUUCUGCAUCUUUCUGAGAGUAAGGGUUGAAAAGAGAUAAGGUCAAUCAUCUGACAACAAUCCAAUGGGAAACCUACUGUCUCCGUAGAAAUUCUUUUCAUGGAAAGAAAAGGGGCUACCAUUUUGAUCUGCCGCAGGAACUAGGUCUAUUCCUCAGCCUCAUGGUUUGCAAAACGCUACAGACUUUUCCAUGGGCAUAAAUUCUCCAGCUUUAGGGAUUGCUAGUGUAGUUGACUCUUGAAGCUGCUCUUGGAUUUCCAAGGGUAGCACCAUUUUUACCUGAGAAAAGAAGGAAAAAGAUAUUCAAGAAGGAGAACUUUUCAACAGAAGUUACUCCAUUUGCUGUUUUUGUGGUUUGGUGCUUGUUUAGGUUUGCAAGUGUGUUUUCUGCCCAAAUUGUUCUUGCAUAUUCUAACAGUGUUUGCUUUACGUGUUUCGAUACCACGCUGUUUUGAAGGUACUAAUGUUUUUCAUGGCAUGUCUUAUGUUAAGUGUAAAACUGAGAGGUGAAUGCCAGCGACUGAAUAGAGUACAGUAUUCUUCAAAGUUUUUAACUAAAUAAAUGCUAAGAGAAAAGUGAAGCAAGAUUUCUGGAGGUCCGGAAGUGGCCAGCUGACAAUAUGGCAUCUCUGUAUCUCCUAUUUUUAUCUUUACGCUAAAUGCAAAUUUUACUUUCUGUGCUAAAAUAAUGUUUCAUUAGUUUCAAGGUAAAAAUGUGUAAAUAGAC